GAGAAGUGAUGGAUAGGGAUGUAAUUUUACAUCAUGUACAACAUUGGAAGCAGCAUAUACAACACUUUAUAAGCAGAGAAAAUAAAAAAGAGUUUGGUAUUUUAAGACGCUACAAGGGGUAGCCUAGGGAUUUCACUCCUACUGUUCCUUCAUUUUCCAUCAUCGAUUGAAAUUGAAUGCGAUCUUUUGGUAUUCGCCCUCCCCAUCUACCUUAUAACCUGAUUUUUAAUUCUUAAAGCUUCUAUCAAUGUCGAUGAAUAUCAUCUUCCCCCAAUCAAAGAUCAUAUGUCCCACUCGGGUUUUUGUUCGAGAUUGCAGGUGCAUAUCUUGAAGAUCUAUACUAGGCACGAGAGCAUUUUUCAUCAGGAUUAAAGUCAUGAAGAAGGAAUGGUUUGAAGGGAAAGAGUGUCUUGAUAUUGGCAGCAAUAAUGGAUUAAUAACAAUUACAAUUGGUAAUCGUUAAUAUACAGGUUUUGGUUAAAUGAAUUAUCAUCAGUUAGUUUUUUUUUUUUUUUACAUGGUUUUGAAUACUGAUGGUUCAUUCAUUAAUGAUGCUGAGCUCGUGUCUGGUGACUGAAGCUACUUUUUCAUUUUGUCAUUGCAUUAUUGUUACACUAUACGGAGUGGGGGGCAUGAAAAGUGGCCGUUGUGCAACACGUGGACGCUACACCAGCACGUGUCUGAAUAGUCGCGUGGUGCAAAAAGCUGGAGGAGUGGGAGGGGGCGUGAAAGGGCGGCGUUAUUUGACGCGUGGCACACACUUUGUCGGUUCUUCACUUUCUUCUUAGAGGUAUUGAUUGAUCAGGCUUUUUAUGUUGUUGGUGAUGACUGAAAUGAUAUGAUUUAAAGUUAAUUGGCCUUAUUAGUUCAGUUUGAUUGCUGUUAGUAAUAAAACCUCCUAUAAGUAAACAAAAAACAUAAUUCUUACCUUUUGAAUUAUCUCACUUGAAUAAAAAUACUUGUAAUUGAUAUGUUGAUAUUGACAUUCUUGUUGCACUCCUGGUGCUCUCUAAUACCUAAGUGGAGUCAUUCUUUUUGAGGAAACUCUCUACCAGAAGACAACUACAGGUAAGCCAAGUAUGGAUGUUAUGAAGGAAGUUGGAAUCUUCUUUGGUAUAAAGGUUGACAAGGGUACAAUCGAACUUGCUGAACCAAUGGUGAGACCACCGCCCCAUGUCUAGAUGGUCUUGCCCAGCGACGUGCUAAAUACUACUCAGCCGGUUCCUGGUUUGCCAAGUGGCAUGCAGUUCUUAAGAUCGGCCCGAAAGAGCCACAAUUGCAUAACAUGGGCAUACCAUGCUGGGUUCAAUAGUGAAGAGGCUGUCAACGUGGCCCCAUGAAUUAGCUACAACACGGGCAAGUUGCAGUUGAGCUUUAUAGCUAUUUCUGGUGCAACGCUCUUAGUAAUCAACUUCUAAGAGGGUUAUAGAGAGAGAAAACCGGGAACCAAAGAGACAGAGAGAGAAAUCGGGUGGGGAUCGAGAGGGAAAAUUGAGAGGUAUGACGAUAGGGAUGGUGAUGCUAACGAGAGGUGGUGGCUAUGGAAUGUGGAGUGGUGAAAAUGCAGCGACGAAAGGCGGUGCUACUUGAGCAGAACAAAAUUAGUUGUCGUUAGUAGCAUUGCUGAUAGCAGCUCUAAGGAAAUUAAUGGUGGUGUGUAGUGUUGAUCAUCGACAUUCGACAUGAUCAUAUCUCAGCUCAACAUCAGAUGGAAAUAGAAUGCCACACAAAUGUUCAACAUAUAUUUAACAGAUGUUACUUUCAUAGAUUCAUUGACGAAUUUGCAAAAGUUUAUCAACAGCUCAAUUAUGUCCAGGUUGGUUUUCUUCACUAAUCAUAUAUGCUCUUGUAUUUCAUUAGUUGUAGUGUUCGGAUGUGUGUUUUUAAGAAGCAUGGAUGUAAUAAAACAGAUCAUUAGUUGUAAUAAACAGUUUGAAGGAGGUGGUGCCUGGA